ensembl:processed_transcript predicted gene 15545
GUUAUAGGGAAACCCCCAAUUCCUGAGACGUGGAUGAGGGUGUAUUCUAGUCUGUGGUUCCGAAGCCAUCCAUGAUUCGCUGUGAGCUCCCCACCCCUGUGCUGGAAGGCGCCAAGUUCUUUAGACCUGUGGCCUCCAGGUCCUCUGCGGGAAACAUCCUUUGUCUGACCAAGUCCUACAUGUCAAUCACCGGCAAUUCGGACGCCACCUCCUCCAGGAAAUUUCCCUGGAUCUGCAGAAAGUUACUCCUUCCCUGAGGAUGGAUGUCAGUUGCUGGGUUCGUGCACCUUCCUUGUGCCUUCUGUCCCACCAGACUAUGGUCCAAAUAUCAGAUCCUUUAACUCCCCUAUGAGCCCCUCCAGUGCGAUCUUCCGCGUAAGCUGACUGUGAAACCUCUGGAGCCAAGGAUGUCUUUAAAUCUAGAUGGUCUUGCCUCAGCCUCUCUGGUACUUGAGAUGACAGACUUGCACCAUCAGAAACAAUCGUCUCCUCCCUUUCUCCCCCUGUUACACCACCACCAUCCCACCUGCUGUGCUUCAGCCAAGAUCUUACUGUGUAACCCUGGCUGGCCUUGGAACCCCCUAUGUAUGCUAGGCUGGCUUGACCUUAUAGAGAUUCGCCUGCCUCUGCCUCCCAAGUGCUGGGAUUAAAGGCAUGCACCACCACU